UGGCUGGUGUAACUCAGUCAGAUGGGUGAGAUAUUAUUAUUAUUAUUAUUAUUAUUAUUAUAAUAUCUCACCCAUCUGACUGAGUUACACCAGCCA
rnacentral:miRNA from 1 species